GUGUCAGCAGCCGCGGUAAUACGUAGGGGGCAAGCGUUGUCCGGAAUUAUUGGGCGUAAAGCGCGCGCAGGCGGUUCUUUAAGUCUGGUGUUUAAACCUGGGGCUCAACUUCAGGUCGCACUGGAAACUGGGGAACUUGAGUGCAGAAGAGGAGAGUGGAAUUCCACGUGUAGCGGUGAAAUGCGUAGAUAUGUGGAGGAACACCAGUGGCGAAGGCGACUCUCUGGGCUGUAACUGACGCUGAGGCGCGGAAACGUGGGGAGCAAACAGGAUUAGAUACCCCGGUAGUCC
rnacentral:rRNA from 1 species